CUGCACUGUCAAUGUGACUGACACCAUCACAUAGCCCCUGAGAGACCGCAUGGAGAUGAUCAACAUGUAUGGAUACGUGGCCCAGGAGAAACUAGCCAUCGCUGAGGUAGCAUAGUGGUUAGAGCGUUAGGCCAGUAACCGAAAGGAGAAUGUGGCCAUGACGGGAGAGGUGUCCCUGACCAGAAAGAUCCUGCCUGUGGGAGGCAUCAAGGAGAAGACUAAUUGCAGUGAAAACCAUCACUCCCCGAUCAGUCAACAAUCAAUCAUCAAUCAGAAGACACACCUCCUCCUAUUUCCUACCCUAUCACAGUUCCUUCCCAUGGUUUAAAAACCCCAUCAUUUGUUUGCUCUGGAGCAAUCUCUAGCUCAAUCUCUAGCUCAAUCUCUCGCUCAAUCUCUCUGUAAAUGCCAUGUCUGUAGGUCUCUGUGUUUCACUCUCGCUUUGUGUCGUAACCUCUCUUUUGUUUAAGCACCUCCAUAGCACUUUGUCAUCACCUGUGAGUAUUGUUUUUGGUUAUGGUGUUUGUUUGUUGCUGGUGGGAAAAGGGGGAAACCAAGACAAGUCGCCCAUGGGCAUACACUACCCGUAGGUGAACUUUGUUAAACACACUAGUUAGAACUGGGCGGACCACCCACUGUAUUUUUGGUUAGUUAGUUAGCUGUUAUUAAAGUAGGCUAGUCUAGCUUAGGGGUGUUUUGGAUGCUUAUUGUUUCUUUCCUUGGGUCCAGCUCAGCCCCUUUUCCUGCUCCCCCCAUUACCGUGUGUUUAUAAAUAAACCUAGAGUUUGACGGUA